AGCGAACGCUGGCGGCGUGCCUAACACAUGCAAGUCGAGCGCGGGCAUUUCGGGGGUAACCCGGGACUGUGCUGAGCGGCGGACGAGUGAGUAAUACGUGGACAACCUGCCUUAAAGCUUGGGAUAAGUCCGGGAAACUGGAGCUAAUACCGGAUAAGACCACGGUGUCUAUGGAUGCUGAGGUAAAAGGCGGCCAGGAAACUGGCUGUUGCUUAAAGAUGGGUCCACGUCCCAUCAGGUAGUUGGUGAGGUAAAGGCUCACCAAGCCAAAGACGGGUAGCUGGCCUUAGCGGGUGGUCAGCCACACGGGGACUGAGACACGGCCCCGACUCUACGGGA
rnacentral:rRNA from 1 species